GCAGUGAACUUCUCAACCUCAGGGUGAUGGGCUGCGCAGUGAAAUGAGAGGCAAGAUUCUCAGUUACAUUAUUUUUUUUAAACAUUUUAUUUAUUUAUUAGAGACAGAGAGAGAGAGAGAGGCAGAGGCACAGGCAGAGGGAGAAGCAGGCUCCAUGCAGGGAGUCGGACUUGGGACUCGAUCUGGGGUCUCCAGGAUCAUGCCCUGGGCUGAAGGCGGUGCUAAACCGCUGAACCACCUGGGCUACCCUCUCAGUUACAUUAUUAAUGAAGACAUAGAUUUGUUUAAUGCUGAGACUUCCUUUCAGUGCACUGCUAUGAAAAAAAAAAUGAGAUUCCUUUCCUCAAGGCUUAAACCAAAUGGAGUAAAAGGAAAUCACCUUUUACAGUCCAACUCCUACAGGAAGAAUGCCUUGCUGUUACGCUUUUUAAAGAAGGCAUGGUGAAUUUAUAUCAACUCUGGCGAAUCUUGGGGCAUGAUAAAAGGAAGAAAAAUACCAGCACGGUGAACAUUCCACAGAACUCUCUUCACAUGUUUAUUUCCUUAGCGACUGGACAUGAUCCAAAAUAUUGAGAAAAAUGUAAAAAGAAAAGAAAAUUAAGCUACAAGAUGAUCAUCACCACAUUUCCUUACAGAUGAAGAAACUGAGGCUCAGAAAGGAGCAAACACAGCCAAGGUCACACAGCAAGUGAGGGGCAGAGUGUGUUCUAUGCCUCAAAUGCUGGUGGCCUCUUCUGUAUGUCAUCCUUCUAAAGGUUUGAUUAGUAACUUUUUUUUCUCCUUAUAAAAGUAAGACAUGGUCACUCAAGAGAAUUUAGAAAACCCUGAACCAUGUAAAGGAAAAUAAAACAUCUCAUAAGUCUACCAUCUGGAAGUUAUGAAUUUUUAUCAGUUAGAUAUGUUUACUCCUGUGUGUGUAGGUCUGAGCAAAUGUAUCAUUUCUUUGUAAU